AGAUCAAAAUUGAAAGUUGCCCUGAGAAAUUCAGCCAGGGAAAAUGCCAAGGCCCCACAGACAGAUAAGCUCCGGGCUUGUGCCGGGGCCAUCCAAGGUCCCUGAUAAAACUUCAGCACCGAGACCCCAGGCACAAAAAACAACUUUCUAACAGGAGCUUGUGCCGGGGCCGUCCAAGGUCCCUGAUAAACUCCAGCACUGAGACCCCAGGUGCAAAAAGCAACUUUCCAACAAAGGUUAUUCAUGAAAAAGUAUUUAAACCCCAGCCUGUCAGAAGCAACUUGGAACUCUGAUGGUAGAGGUUCCCACUGAUGCGCAUCAGUUUUUUUGUUUUUUUGUGUUUUUUUUUGCAAUAAAGGGCCUGUUCCGUGUCUGAUUACAUUGCCCGAGAUCCUUCCUUGGUGGGGGGUGAAUUCCCGGACCUUAACAUUUGGGGGCUCACCCGCUUCCCCCACCUUGGAACCCCCAGACAGGAGGGCCUAAGGCACUGCCUUGGACCAGACCUUCAGUAUUUGGCCCAGUACCCUUCUAUCUUGGGGGCUGACUCUUCCCCUUGUGACCGGUCUGCCAAUCGGGAGACACUGUGACAGGACACCCUUCAGAUCUCCAGACAGUUCUCCACCGACCUGGGACCCUGGAAUCCACUGAGGAUGCGCCCCUAAAGACACUGUCUGCAGCCUUCCCUCCCCCUCUUAUUCCCUUCCCUCUCUCUCCUACACAUAGGUAGGGACAGCUCUACAUCCAUGCUCAGCACUGAAGAAACUACAGAAGAUUUGGACCUCCGCCCUUUUUCCCUUAGACAUUUGGAGAGAGAGGAGGGGAUGGGAUGGCACUGAACCAGGUGGGGCCUGAGACUCUGGCCCUCCAGGAGGCUGUGUGGUUCCCCUAUGGAUGGCUGGGCUGGCCAGAUGGCAUGACUCACCAGGAACAGUGGGGAGACAGCUAGCAAAAGGAAUACAUGACCCACUCGCUUCCAUUUCUUCACUUUCUCCCCCGCCUCUUGGUCAUAGAGUAUCCCUCAACUGGGAAAUACCUUAUCCCACCCACAGGAGCACACUGGCCGUGCCCCCGUUCUGGCCUACAGCCCUGGGCCUCCCCUAGCUCCCUCACUGCCCGCUGCACCCCCUCACAAUAGUACCCCAAGUGACCUACUAUGCCAAGCAGGACCUCCUCUUCCUUAAGGAGGGGGUCUCUGUGCAGCCUUGGGUGAGGAAUGUUGCUUCUAUGUUAACCACUCAGGGAUUAUUAGGGACUCCCUGAGCAAGCUACAAGAGGGUCUAGAAGCUCUGACGAAAGGAGAGGGAAACUGCCGGCCCCUGGUACGCCCACCUUUUCAAUUCUUCUCCCUAGUCACAUCCCUCAUAGGACCCCUCAUAAUCUUAACCCUACUCUUAACAUUUGGCCCCUGCGUUUUUAACCGCCUUGUUCAGUUCAUGAAAGGCCGGCUGGGUGCCACCCAGGUGUUGGCCCUCCGACAACAGUACCGAUCCCUAGUGAGCCCCGGGCUUAAAGCCACAAGCUGCCUCAGUGGGCAGGCACCCCCUCUGCCCCCCUAAGAGAAAAAGAAGUUGGAAAUGAGAGAGAUCUAGCCUCAGUGGGCAGGCACCCCCUCUGCCCCCCUAAGAGAAAAAGAAGUUGGAAAUGAGGGAGAUCAAAAUUGAAAGUUGCCCUAAGAAAUUCAGCCAGGGAAAAUGCCAAGGCCCCACAGACAGAUAAGCUCCGGGCUUGUGCCGGGGCCAUCCAAGGUCCCUGAUAAAACUUCAGCACCGAGACCCCAGGCACAAAAAACAACUUUCUAACAGGAGCUUGUGCCGGGGCCGUCCAAGGUCCCUGAUAAACUCCAGCACUGAGACCCCAGGUGCAAAAAGCAACUUUCCAACAAAGGUUAUUCAUGAAAAAGUAUUUAAACCCCAGCCUGUCAGAAGCAACUUGGAACUCUGAUGGUAGAGGUUCCCACUGAUGCACAUCAGGUUUUUUUGCAAUAAAGGGCCUGUUCCGUGUCUGAUUACAUUGCCCGAGAUCCUUCCUUGGUGGGAGGUGAAUUCCCGGACCUUAACAGGAGAACAAAUUUCAAACCACAGCAAGGUUAAAACCCAAGUAUCUCAGAGUCCGGUUAAAAGGAUUUCCAGAAAAGUCCAAAUUAUUUUGAGAUGGACAGCCAGGUGGUGUAGAGAAUAGAGUACUAGACUGAUGUCAGGAAGAUUCAUCUUCCUGGGUUCAAAUCAAGCCUCAGACACUUAUUAAUAAUUGUGUGAUCCUCAUACAUAAUCUUUGCCACUUUUUCAUCUGUAAAAUGGCUGGAGAAGGAAAUGGUUUGCAAACCACUCCAUUAUUGCCAAAAAAAAAAACACAACACCCAAAUGGGGUACAGCUAAGAGAUGUACAGAUCGGAAACUUAACAAUUCUCCUGCCUCUUGGCAGAGGCUUAAGAGUAUCAUAAGAAAAGGAACAAUCUAUAAGGUCAUUUCUAGUACAAAAAUUAAUGACAUCUUAUUUUACUACUUCCAAAUGAAAAGGAAUCUAUUACCUCAAUUUUUACUUAAGCUCACAUUUCUUAUUAUCAGGAAUAUUUUAUGUUAGCCAACAUUUUCCUCUUCUUAGUGUCAUCACACUAUUGCUAUUUACAAUUCUCUGUAUGCAGAAUAUGCACUCUAGAAACUUGGAAAAUUAUAGCAACAUCUCACAAAACAUUUGGAGCCUUUUAUAAAUUCUGUUUUAGUUAGCAUGGCUCAAUGAAUUUUUUUUAUAAAUUCUGAGCACUAGUUCAAGUAUUAGGUAUAUGAAGUUUGGUAUAAGAAAGUGUCUUUUUUUAAUCUACUAUAAACCUUGACUGAUUAUAAUUUUAAUAAUAGAUUACAUACUUAUGAUGUUGACUUUUGAGUUGCUUAAUCAAGAGCAACAAAAACUCCGUUACUCAAAAAAUGUCAUUCUUGAGGAUGAGUGAACAAAAAAGAAUUUUAAGAGGGACUGACUGAAUACCUCUUCUAAUGCUUCUAAUAAUAACUGAAAGAAAUCAGCCUAACUAGUAAAUAAGCAUACUUAGUUGAACUGUUUUCAAUGUUGGAUUUUUUUUUAACAAAACACGCAAAUAUAAAACUCCCCCACCUGAGCUCAGAGAGCCAAUUCAUGGAUCUAGUGCUAAAAGGGUCCAAAUUCAACCACUUCACUUUUUAUAUAUGAGGACUAAACAGUGGCUAUACAUCAGUCAGAUAGGUAGAUUAGGUAGAUAGGUAGAUACAUAGACUGACAUAGAUAGAGGUAUGUUUGGUUUUGUCUUUUAAUUCAUUCACCUGUUUUUUGUCAAUAGGUACUCUGGCCACAUCUGUAUUAUCUCCCAAGGGUCCACGUUUCUCCUCUUCCAUUCUCUGAUUAACAACAAAUUUUUUAAGCGGUUAACAUCUAGAUAUAUUCUGUGUUUAGUUCUAGGUCUACAUUUUCUUCUCAACAAUAUUCUUUUUCCUUUAAUUUUGAAGAAGUAACAAGAACGUUCAUAUUUUUCUGCUAAGACAUCACUUUAAAAAUAUUUAUAUAGAAUAAUUCCUUUGUGUUGAUUUUCUUCCAGUACAGAUUUUAAGCAAGUUUUUUAUGAAGGCAAUAUUGUCUUUUUUCCUUAGACAUCUACAUAUUUUAAGAUAAAAUUUUCUCUAGGAGAAAAACUUCAAAAUUCAUUACCAUGAAGUUACUGCUUUGAGAGGUAAGCUCUAAGAGCUAAAUUUUUAUUACUUAUGCUAAAUUUACUAAUUACACAUGGAAGACCUACCAAGUUUCCAUUUCAACCAAUUUUUUUAUCAGUAAGAAGCAGCAAAUCAAGUAUAACUUCCCCUCUAGAUGGUCUUGCAACUUCAUAAUUAAAAUUCUCUAGUCACUAGAAAAACUAUUAAAUAUAAUUAGAACAGAAACAAUAUAAAUCUUUAGAAAAAAUAAAACUAAGGUAAAUACAAUUGAAUUGAUUCUAAAGAAGUUAUAUAAGAUGCAUAAAAAUUUUCUAUGCAAAAGCUAGGGAUAUGGCUGUGCCUAGAAGUCAGAAAGAUUUUUUUAAAAUUCUCAGUUUUAGUAAGGUGCUUUUGUGGUUUUGCUUUCUUUGACUUCAGUUAUCCUAAGUCAAUAAGCUCCAGGUGUCUUCUGCUUUCACUUUAAGGUUUUUUUUUUUAAACGAGAAGGUAGGAAGCUGCAAAGUACUAAGCCAUAGGACAUAAGCCAGGAGAGGGUUGUGUAUAAGCGGUUAGCAGGUGUUGACUUAUAUUGAGUUUGUUAUCCACAGUAAGUCUUGGAACAUAUCCUACAGAUAUAGGGCCCUACUGUGUUUCUACUUUAAAAGAAUUUCAAUUCUUAAAUUCUGAUAAUUUUCAUUUAUAACAUUAAGUUGUACAAAGUACUAUUAUACAUUAUCAAUUAAUAAGUUCUUAAUUAAACAACAAAAGUAAAAUGCAAAGUAAUACCAUAUGUUCAUGGAUCUAUAAAAGCAAGACAUAUAAAAUAUAAAAAUUUGGACAGGUCAUGGUAUUAAUCAUAGUGAACCAUGAAAGAUCUACUGAAGGAGAUAGAACUUGAACUCAACCUUGAAAGAAGUUAUGGUAAAGAUAGGAAGGAAGCGGUAAAGAAGGAUAUUCAAAGUGUAAGGGGCAGCCUAAAUGAAAGUAUGGAGGCAGAAAAUAGAAUGCCACAUAAAGGAAAUAGCAAGUUCUCUGGUUUGGAUAAACAUGUGAAGGAAAGUAUAAAAUUUAAAUUAAUAUCCAAUAAGUCCAAGUAUCAUAUUUUAUAAAGUUUAUUAAUAAUCACUUGAAGUAGAAGUAAAAGAACAAAAAUAAAAACCUUAGUAAAGCCACGUGAGUAAAUUUUUCCUGCCAAGCUCUCUCCUUGGCCUCCCUAGCCACGUUCCGGGAAGAAGAGAGCGCAAAGGCAUAGCUAUACACAACAUAUCUUCCAUACGUUAGUACAUUACAUAGAUACAUAAAUGGGAUGCUGGGAAAGUGAGUCCUUGAGGAGCAAAAUUCGAAUUACACAAAAGUAAUGUUUAAUCAUCCUAGAAAGACUGACAUUUAAAGCCCUACACCUGUAGCUCCAGUAAAAAUUUCAUCUUAGAAUCAAAGGGGAGUCAUUAAAGUUUCUUGAGCAGGAGAGCAGCAACACAGUCAAAUCUAUGAUUUAGAGAAAAACAAUUUAGCAGAUGUGUGAAUGAUUAACUGGAGAGGGAAAGCUGUGAGGCAGAGACCUUAGAAGGCUAUUACAAUAAUCUAGGUGAGCAGGGUUGAGGACCUAAACUAUGAUAGAGGAUUUAUGACAUUAAUGAUGAGGAGAGAACAUGUUCAAGAGAAUUAUUUUGGAGAAAAAAAUCAUUACGACUUGGCAACUAAUUUCAUAUAGGAGGUAUGAAAGGAAUUAAACUGAUAGAAUUUGAAGAUACUUGCCAUAUUAGCAAAAGACCUCUAUCCCAAGAAUAGAUUAGAUAAUAUCUAACUAAUAGAGCUUAUGACAUGUUUAUGAUAGUUUAUACCAGAAUUACUGGAGUUAUAAAAUUUAAAAAAAUAUUUAUUUUUAGGCUGGCUAUCAAAUUUCUCAGUAAUAUAGUAUAAUCUAUUCAUCACACAUUAAGUUCUAUUAAUACUAAUAUGUUAGUAUUCGUUAUAUAAUACAGAAUUGAAAAACAUUCUUUUCUACUCAAUUUCUUUAGUUCUCUUAAAAAUCUAAGAAUCAGUAUGGUUCUUUCCCAAUAGCUACUACCGUAAAAGAAAAAAAAAAACGUACAAAAUACACCAUUACCUUAUAAACCUGAAAUGUUCAGCCAGUAAACAAAUUAUAACAUGUGUCCUUCAAAUCUGUUUCAGUCAGUUGUCUGAAUUCAUAAUGCACUUUUCUUAUAGAAAUAACAUAAAUGGUGGUUAAGUUCCUAACUUAGCCUACAAAUAUCUUUUUAACCAUGUGUUAAAAUAGAAGCCACCAACUCUUAUGAGCUUGAAGCCCAUGGUGAGGUGAGACAUGGUAUAUAGGUAAGGAAUGAGGAGAAGCUCCAAUGGCUGGUCAACUCUUACAGCAAUUUCAGGGUUCUUACAACUCUGACACUGACAGUUUCUGGUAGUAGCUGGGGACUAGGGGGCCACAGCAGAACAGGGAAAUGGGAAUGGUAUACAUGAACAGAUUUUUCCUAAGUCUCAUGUUUGUAAUAAAGAACUGCCUAUAUCUCACCAUCAUAGAAUUUCAAUGCUGAAAUAGUUUUUGGUCAUCUAGUCUAAUUCAUACCUAAAUAGUAAUAUCUUCUAUGAUAUCAUCAUCUAAGCUCUCCCUGUGAACCCCUAGUGAUAAAAAUAAAACACUAUAUCCUUAAAUAAACGAUUCUAUAUUUUCAAGAAAUUUUUCCUUAUGCCAAAACAAAGUAUUUGUAAACACUACCCAAGGUUCUUUCUAAGUAUAAACAGAACAAAUCUAAGUACUCUUUUACACAACAGCCUUCCAUAUAUUUGAAGAUAGCUAAUAUGUCCUCUGAAAGUCUUUUCCUUAGUCUAACCAUUACUAAUUUAAACCAAUCCCUCGGUUACAUGCUCUUUAGUCUGCUCACUAUCCUCUGGCCCUACUGUAAGGAUGUCAAUACCCUCCUUUAACAUAAGGUAAUUCUGAACUAAACAUAACACUUUUCAUUGUGGUCUCUCCAAAGUGGAACACAGUGGGACAAUACUUCCCUCAUUCUGAACAUCAGAUUACUAUUAAUGCAGAUUAAAAUUGUAUUAGCUUUCUCAGGGCUCACAUUUCAUAUUGUUGUCCCUUAUGAAGCUCGCAAUCUUCUAACUAAUGUAUUACGCAGCUAAAUUUUUUACAUUUACUCCUUUUAAUUUCAUCUUAUUAGAUUUGGCCCAUUAUGCUAGCCCAGUGAACUUUUUUAGAUACUGACUCCAUGAUUCAAUUCAAAAAGUAUUUAAGUUCAUAUAAAAUUCUAAGCAAUGAAGAUUUAAAAACAAAAACAAAAGAUCCCUCUCUACCCAAUAUUUCUUAUAUGCAAAUUUGUAUAAGCAUAUUGCACAUGUUUUCAUUCAAAUCACACGAGAAGCUCUAUAUUAUUCAAUAAUUAAUAGGUGGGGGAACCUAUAUAUUCCAAAUAAAUAUUUAUAGCAGCGCUCUUUGUGGUGGCAAAGAACUAGAAAUUGAAGGGAUGUCCAUCAAUUGGGAAUAGCUAAACAAAUUGUUCUAUAUGAUUGUGAUGAAAUAUUACUGCACCACAAGAAAUGAUGAGAAGUUUUUUGUAAUGAAAAAGAAUUGUAAAUUGAGGGGAUAUCCAUCAAUCGGGAAAUAACUGAACAAACUGUGGUACAUGUCGGUGAUGGAAUACUAUUGUGCUUUAAGAUUUCAGAGCAAAAGAAGCAGACCUGAAAAAAUAUUGUACCCAAUAACAGCAAUAUUGCAAGACAAUCGAUUAUCUAUGAAAACUUGGCUACUCUCAGCAAUGCAAUAAUCUGGGGAAAUGCAUGAGCUCUUACAACAAUGACCAAUAUGAAGUAUGUUUUGCAUAACAAUAAAAAUAAAUUUUUUUUAAAUGA